UGGGGAAUAUUCCGCAAUGGGCGCAAGCCUGACGGAGCAACGCCGCGUGAGUGAUGAAGGCCUUCGGGUUGUAAAACUCUGUCUUCAGGGAAGAAACAAAUGACGGUACCUGAGGAGGAAGCCCCGGCUAACUACGUGCCAGCAGCCGCGGUAAAACGUAGGGGGCGAGCGUUGUCCGGAAUUACUGGGCGUAAAGGGCGCGUAGGCGGUUUUUCAAGUCAGGGGUGAAAACUCUGGGCUCAACCCAGAGCCUGCCUCUGAAACUGGGAGACUUGAGGGCAGGAGAGGGGAGUGGAAUUCCCAGUGUAGCGGUGAAAUGCGUAGAUAUUGGGAGGAACACCAGUGGCGAAGGCGACUCUCUGGCCUGCUUCUGACGCUGAGGCGCGAAAGCGUGGGUAGCGAACGGG
rnacentral:rRNA from 2 species